rnacentral:rRNA from 1 species
AUUGAACGCUGGCGGCAGGCCUAACACAUGCAAGUCGAACGAGUGGCGGACGGGUGAGUAAUGUCUGGGAAACUGCCCGAUGGAGGGGGAUAACUACUGGAAACGGUAGCUAAUACCGCAUACCAUCUGAUGUGCCCAGAUGGGAUUAGCUUGUAGGUGAGGUAACGGCUCACCUAGGCGACGAUCCCUAGCUGGUCUGAGAGGAUGACCAGGAACACUGGAAAUGAGACACGGUCCAGACUCAUACGGGAGGGAGAAGUGGGGAAUAUUGCGCAAGGGGCGCAAGCGUGAUGCAGCCAUGCCGCGGGUAUGAAGAAGGACUUCGGGUUGUAAAGUACUUUCAGCGGGGAGGCGUUACACGCAGAAGAAGCACCGGCUAACCCCGUGCCAGCAGCAGCGGUAAUUC